rnacentral:rRNA from 1 species
GACGGACGCUGGCGGCGUGCUUAAUACAUGCAAGUCAACUUGACUUUAGAUAGCAAUAUCGAAAAGUAGGGUGGCGCACGGGUGCGUAACGCGUAGGUAAUCUGCCCUGAGGUCUGACAUAACCCGUCGAAAGGCGGGCUAACAUCAGAUGAUAUAUAAUCACGACAUCGUGGAAAUAUCAAAUCUUCGGAGCCUUGGGAUGAGCCUGCGUCUGAUUAGGUAGUUGGCGGAGUAAUAGCCCACCAAGCCUACGAUCAGUAGCUGGUCUGAGAGGAUGAUCAGCCACACUGGAACUGAGACACGGUCCAGACUCCUACGGGAGGCAGCAGUAAGGAAUAUUGCUCAAUGGGGGAAACCCUGAAGCAGCAACGCCGCGUGAAGGAUGAAAUACUUUUGUAUGUAAACUUCUGUAAGAUGGGAAAAAUAUUACUCCUCGGGAGAAUUGAUUGUACCAUCAGAGUAAGCCCCGGCUAACUACGUGCCAGCA